rnacentral:tRNA from 1 species
GUCGAAGUAGUCUAGCCCGGUAAGGCGACGGUCUCGAAAACCGUUGUGCUCACGCACCCGCAGGUUCAAAUCCUGCCUUCGACG